rnacentral:rRNA from 1 species
UUUGGGAGCUUGCUCCCGAUGAGAGUGGCGCACGGGUGCGUAACACGUAUGUAACCUACCUUUAUCAGGGGGAUAGCCUCUCGAAAGAGAGAUUAAGCCCGCAUAACAUCAUGAUGCAGCAUUGUAAUAUGAUCAAAUAUUUAUAGGAUAAAGAUGGGCAUGCGGAACAUUAGCUAGUUGGUAAGGUAAUGGCUUACCAAGGCUACGAUGUUUAGGGGAUCUGAGAGGAUGGCCCCCCACACUGGUACUGAGACACGGACCAGACUCCUACGGGAGGCAGCAGUAAGGAAUAUUGGUCAAUGGGCGGAAGCCUGAACCAGCCAUGCCGCGUGCAGGAAGACGGCCCUACGGG